rnacentral:rRNA from 1 species
AACAGGAUUAGAUACCCUGGUAGUCCACGCUGUAAACGAUGUCGAUUUGGAGUUUGUUGCCUAGAGUGAUGGGCUCCGAAGCUAACGCGAUAAAUCGACCGCCUGGGGAGUACGGCCGCAAGGUUAAAACUCAAAUGAAUUGACGGGGGCCCGCACAAGCGGUGGAGCAUGUGGUUUAAUUCGAUGCAACGCGAAGAACCUUACCUGGUCUUGACAUCCAUAGAAUUCUGCAGAGAUGUGGGAGUGCCUUCGGGAACUAUGAGACAGGUGCUGCAUGGCUGUCGUCAGCUCGUGUUGUGAAAUGUUGGGUUAAGUCCCGCAACGAGCGCAACCCUUAUUCUUUGUUGCCAGCGAUUUGGUCGGGAACUCAAAGGAGACUGCCGUUGAUAAAGCGGAGGAAGGUGGGGACGACGUCAAGUCAUCAUGGCCCUUACGACCAGGGCUACACACGUGCUACAAUGGCGUAUACAAAGGGAAGCGAAGGUGCGAGCUGGAGCGGAUCUCAUAAAGUACGUCUAAGUUCGGAUUGGAGUCUGCAACUCGACUCCAUGAAGUCGGAAUCGCUAGUAAUCGUAGAUCAGAAUGCUACGGUGAAUACGUUCCCGGGCCUUGUACACACCGCCCGUCACACCAUGGGAGUGGGUUGCACCAGAAGUAGAUAGCUUAACCGCGAGGGGGGCGUUUACCACGGUGUGAUUCAUGACUGGGGUGAAGUCGUAACAAGGUAACCA